rnacentral:rRNA from 1 species
GAUGAACGCUGGCGGCGUGCCUAAUACAUGCAAGUCGAGCGAACAGACGAGGAGCUUGCUCCUUUGACGUUAGCGGCGGACGGGUGAGUAACACGUGGGUAACCUACCUAUAAGACUGGGAUAACUUCGGGAAACCGGAGCUAAUACCGGAUAAUAUAUCGAACCGCAUGGUUCGAUAGUGAAAGAUGGCUUUGCUAUCACUUAUAGAUGGACCUGCGCCGCAUUAGCUAGUUGGUAAGGUAACGGCUUACCAAGGCAACGAUACGUAGCCGACCUGAGAGGGUGAUCGGCCACACUGGAACUGAGACACGGUCCAGACUCCUACGGGAGGCAGCAGUAGGGAAUCUUCCGCAAUGGGCGAAAGCCUGACGGAGCAACGCCGCGUGAGUGAUGAAGGUCUUCGGAUCGUAAAACUCUGUUAUUAGGGAAGAACAAACGUGUAAGUAACUGUGCACGUCUUGACGGUACCUAAUCAGAAAGCCACGGCUAACUACGUG